rnacentral:rRNA from 1 species
AUUGAACGCUGGCGGCAGGCCUAACACAUGCAAGUCGAGCGGAUGAAGGGAGCUUGCUCCUGGAUUCAGCGGCGGACGGGUGAGUAAUGCCUAGGAAUCUGCCUGGUAGUGGGGGAUAACGUCCGGAAACGGGCGCUAAUACCGCAUACGUCCUGAGGGAGAAAGUGGGGGAUCUUCGGACCUCACGCUAUCAGAUGAGCCUAGGUCGGAUUAGCUAGUUGGUGGGGUAAAGGCCUACCAAGGCGACGAUCCGUAACUGGUCUGAGAGGAUGAUCAGUCACACUGGAACUGAGACACGGUCCAGACUCCUACGGGAGGCAGCAGUGGGGAAUAUUGGACAAUGGGCGAAAGCCUGAUCCAGCCAUGCCGCGUGUGUGAAGAAGGUCUUCGGAUUGUAAAGCACUGUAAGUUGGGAGGAAGAGCAGUAAGUUAAUACCUGGCUGUUUUGACGUUACCAACAGAAUAAGCACCGGCUAACUUCGUG